GGGAGAGGAAGUGACUUGUUGCUGUUUUUGGGGAUUCUGAUUGGCUAACGUGGGCUUGAGCUUCUCGUUACACGGCCACCUACAGGUUUGGCGUGCUCUUGACGGCAUUGACAACAUAUAAACACUGGUACAUGUAAAC